GAUGAACGCUGGCGGCGUGCCUAAUACAUGCAAGUCGAGCGAACGGACGAGAAGCUUGCUUCUCUGAUGUUAGCGGCGGACGGGUGAGUAACACGUGGAUAACCUACCUAUAAGACUGGGAUAACUUCGGGAAACCGGAGCUAAUACCGGAUAAUAUUUUGAACCGCAUGGUUCAAAAGUGAAAGACGGUCUUGCUGUCACUUAUAGAUGGAUCCGCGCUGCAUUAGCUAGUUGGUAAGGUAACGGCUUACCAAGGCAACGAUGCAUAGCCGACCUGAGAGGGUGAUCGGCCACCCUGGAACGGAGACACGGUCCAGACUCCUACGGGAGGCAGCAGUAGGGAAUCUGCCGCAAUGGGCGAAAGCCUGGCGGAGCAACGCCGCGUGAGUGAUGAAGGUCUUCGGAUCGUAAAACUCUGUUAUGAGGGAAGAACAUAUGUGUAAGUAACUGUGCACAUCUUGACGGUACCUAAUCAGAAAGCCACGGCUAACUACGUG
rnacentral:rRNA from 1 species